UAGGGAAUCUUCGGCAAUGGGGGCAACCCUGACCGAGCAACACCGCGUGAGUGAAGAAGGGUUUCGGCUCGUAAAGCUCUGUUGUUAAAGAAGAACACGUAUGAGAGUAACUGUUCAUACGUUGACGGUAUUUAACCAGCAAGUCACGGCUAACUACGUGCCAG
rnacentral:rRNA from 1 species